AUACGGAGGGUGCGAGCGUUAAUCGGAAUUACUGGGCGUAAAGCGCGCGUAGGCGGUCUAUUAAGUCAGAUGUGAAAUCCCAGGGCUCAACCUUGGAACUGCAUCUGAUACUGGUAGACUAGAGUUUUGGAGAGGGAAGUAGAAUUUCAGGUGUAGCGGUGAAAUGCAUAGAGAUCUGAAGGAAUACCAGUGGCGAAGGCGACUUCCUGGCCAAAAACUGACGCUGAGGUGCGAAAGCGUGGGUAGCAAACGGGAUUAGAAACCCUUGUAGUCC
rnacentral:rRNA from 1 species